AUUGAACGCUGGCGGCAGGCUUAACGCAUGCAAGUCGAGCGGGGUGAUGGUGCUUGCACUAUCACUUAGCGGCGGACGGGUGAGUAAUGCUUAGGAAUCUGCCUAUUAGUGGGGGACAACAUCCCGAAAGGGAUGCUAAUACCGCAUACGUCCUACGGGAGAAAGCAGGGGAUCACUUGUGACCUUGCGCUAAUAGAUGAGCCUAAGUCGGAUUAGCUAGUUGGUGGGGUAAAGGCCUACCAAGGCGACGAUCUGUAGCGGGUCUGAGAGGAUGAUCCGCCACACUGGGACUGAGACACGGCCCAGACUCCUACGGGAGGCAGCAGUGGGGAAUAUUGGACAAUGGGGGGAACCCUGAUCCAGCCAUGCCGCGUGUGUGAGGAAGGCCUUAUGGUUGUAAAGCACUUUAAGCGAGGAGGAGGCUCUUUUGGUUAAUACCCAAGAUGAGUGGACGUUACUCGCAGAAUAAGCACCGGCUAACUCUGUGCCAGCAGCCGCCGUAA
rnacentral:rRNA from 1 species